rnacentral:rRNA from 1 species
UACAGAGGGUGCAAGCGUUAAUCGGAGUUACUGGGCGUAAAGGGCGCGUAGGCGGUUUAGUAAGUGAGAUGUGAAAUCCCUGGGCUUAACCUAGGAACUGCAUCUUAUACUGUUAAGCUAGAGUAUUGUAGAGGGUAGUGGAAUUUCCGGUGUAGCGGUGAAAUGCGUAGAGAUCGGAAGGAACACCAGUGGCGAAGGCGGCUACCUGGACAAAUACUGACGCUGAGGCGCGAAAGCGUGGGGAUCAAACAGG